CAUUAGAUUACUUAAAUGCAAGUGUUGGUCUCUUAAACCAAAUUAUAGUAAAGUAAGCGAAUACUUCUAAUGG
rnacentral:tRNA from 1 species